UCAGGAUUGUUAGGUUGCUAACGCACCAAUAUUCUACUUCUAAUCCUUCCAAACAUUUGCCAACCCUUUAAAGUUCGGCAUGGCCAUGUGACUUGCUGUUAUCACUGCCAAGUGUAAGCAAAAAUUAUAUUUGUCAGUUCAGAGUGGAAGUCUUCAAGAGAAGUUUACAACUCUGCCUUUUCUCUUUCUCUCUUCCCUGGUGCCAUGGUGACCCAGAGAUUCUGUUAGUCUUGGUCUCUCAUGGUGACACGGACCAACACUUUCUACUCACUUAUUAUGGAUAUAUAAUAUGAGGAAGAAGUAAAUCUUUGAUGUGUCUUAAGAAAAUUUUUGUGGCUGUUCUUGUGAGGAUUUAACUAUCAACCUAUUUUAUUUAUCAUACAAAGUAAAAUCCGAUGCCUUAGGAAUUCAUGAUAUUUCAAAGAAAAUAACGAAGUAACAACACUUUGAAAGAAUAACUCAAACAAGGUAAACACUUUUCAGUUGCUCUUCCUACUCAAAACCUCAUCUCUGAAGCAUGAAGAGUCCUAGAUUAUCA